rnacentral:rRNA from 1 species
UACGUAGGAGGCGAGCGUUGUCCGGAAUUACUGGGCGUAAAGAGCGCGUAGGUGGCGCGAUACGACCGGUGUGAAAUCCUCCGGCUCAACUGGAGGGGGUCACUGGUAACGGUCGUGCUAAGAGUGCAGGAGAGGGACGUGGAACUCCGGGAGUAGCGGUGAAAUGCGUAGAGACCCGGAGGAACACCAGUGGCGAAGGCGGCGUCCUGGCCCUG